CAACCCUCGACCGGCCCUUCGGGGGCGGUCGGUGUUGGAGCUCGGCGCCGCCCCGGCGGUCGCCGUCUCCCAAACUCAGUGGCGGUCACGCCGCAGCCUCCCCUGCGCAGUAGCACACCUCGCUGGCGGAGAGCGGCGCGGCCACGCCGUGAAACCCCCGACCUUCCAA
rnacentral:misc_RNA from 1 species